AUGCUCACUUGGCAUGGGAGAGACCGUGAUAAAAAUCCGGUUCUCCCAGGACAAGGCCAUCCCAUUGCACUUCGGGUCUGCUGAUGACUGCGACAUGGGAUACUAGAUUGCAACAUUUGUGGUAAUUGGGGAGGCACGUGGCGUAGUGGUAAUGUUGCUGCCUUAC